AUUGAACGCUGGCGGCAUGCUUUACACAUGCAAGUCGAACGGUAACAGGCCGCAAGGUGCUGACGAGUGGCGAACGGGUGAGUAAUGCAUCGGAACGUGCCCAGUCGUGGGGGAUAACUACUCGAAAGAGUAGCUAAUACCGCAUACGAUCUAUGGAUGAAAGCGGGGGACCGUAAGGCCUCGCGCGAUUGGAGCGGCCGAUGUCAGAUUAGGUAGUUGGUGGGGUAAAGGCUCACCAAGCCAACGAUCUGUAGCUGGUCUGAGAGGACGACCCGCCACACCUGGGCCUGGGACCCGCCCCAGCCCCCUCCGGGAGGCAGCGGUGGGGAAUUUUGGCCAAUGGGCGCAACCCUGUCCCAGCAAUGCCGCGUGCAGGAAGAGGCCCUUCGGGUGGUAAACUGCUUUUUUACGGAACGAAACGGUUCUGGUUAAUACCCGGGCUAAUGACGGUACCGUAAGAAUAAGCACCGGCUAACUACGUG
rnacentral:rRNA from 1 species